rnacentral:rRNA from 1 species
GACGAACGCUGGCGGCGUGCUUAACACAUGCAAGUCGAACGGUAAGGCCCUUCGGGGUACACGAGUGGCGAACGGGUGAGUAGCACGUGGGUGAUCUGCCCUGCACUUCGGGAUAAGCCUGGGAAACUGGGUCUAAUACCGGAUAGGACCCUGGGAUGCAUGUCCUGGGGUGGAAAGCUUUUGCGGUGUGGGAUGGGCCCGCGGCCUAUCAGCUUGUUGGUGGGGUGAUGGCCUACCAAGGCGACGACGGGUAGCCGGCCUGAGAGGGUGACCGGCCACACUGGGACUGAGAUACGGCCCAGACUCCUACGGGUGGCAGCAGUGGGGAAUAUUGCACAAUGGGCGCAAGCCUGAUGCAGCGACGCCGCGUGAGGGAUGACGGCCUUCGGGUUGUAAACCUCUUUCAGCAUCGACGAAGCGAAAGUGACGGUAGGUGCAGAAGAAGGACCGGCCAACUACGUGCCAGCCGCCGCCGUAA